UUCAAACCUGUCCCCACCACCAGUGACGUCACACACGCAUCACUUGCCACAAGCCUAUGACCCCAAGCUGUUGUGUUGUGAAAGAAUAAUCAACUGAGCCUGGCAGUAGAGAGACUGUGGGUGGAAAGAAAGGAAUUGUGUGGAAGAGAAGAUAAACAAUGGCAACUAUUCUGGAGAGUGAACAAUAUAUAUACUGUACAGUAACUGAAGAUGGCUUUGACAGAAUCCUCGUCCCUGGACCACCACAGCAAUAAUCACCUAAAGCUGGCCUGCCCCUGACAGUAACUUACAGAGUCAAGCGUGUUACGGUAAUUAAUUCGAACUACUGCUCCCAGCAGAGACUGUUGCAUUGGGCUUAGUUAAUAUAACAGCAUUCUUAGAUCAGGGGUCAGAAAACUAUUGGCGGGCAUAGGAGCUGAGCAGUGUGUGUGGAUCAGUCAGCUACUCUGGAAGUCAGGCAGAGGUGAAUCCCAACCACAGAGAUUGGCACCAGGGAGAGAGGAGGACGCAGAGCUGACAAUCACACAGGCACCAAAGAGAGUGAGGAGGACAGAACGACACCUGGUUCCCUGCAGGCGUCAUGGUGACAUUGUGCAUGUGCAGAAACUGUACCCAGCCGGCGCUGUCAGCUCCUGGAGUUAGCUCCUGAGUUCUUGCCAGCACCAAACGCCCUGUUACAGCCAGGCAAACAUGGCCAAACCACGCCUGACCGGAGCCACCCCCAUAGCACAGGAUAAGAGUCAGAGUCACCGGGUGGAGGAGGAGAAACUAAUCCGAAGUGAGGGUAGACUUCCCACGGCAUGUAUAACGCUGUACUGCCGACGCAGUGCAGGAUCCUGAUUUAUUCACAUCCACUUUUAAUGGACUCUAUGGCAGAUACGGGUGCAGUGUGACAGGGAACAAUCCGGGGCUAACAUGCGGUGAGAAAGGGGCUUAGCAGCUGUGACACGGCUUGAAACCGUAUUCACUUCACCCGGAUCGGACACGAGAUUUGGGUGUGAAAAGGGUUUUAAGAGACAUUUUUGAAAUGUUAUUGAUGCCAGGAAAACAAACAGUAAAAAAUCUGGUGUGUAAAUAUGGGGGUAAGAUGACUGGAUACAAAAACACGUAAAACUCUAUGGGUGUCGUGGUACCAGCUGGCGUCAUAGUGCCCCUAUCGGGAUUCCGGAAUCGGUAUUGAGACAGCUGGGAUCCCAACGGGCAGUAUUUUAACCGCAUACCCUAUAUAGUGAUAAAUGACCACCAAGGCUGGCAGUGACUGGGUCAUAACCUAGAACUGGUUUUGGAUGUGUAACAAGACACUUUUGCUCAUGUAUCCCUGCAGUGAGCUCCGGGACACAACUAAAAGAUUAAAUUAGGACGUUUCUUGAUAAUGGCAACGUCAUGUACCAUAUGGUGAGAUGGCAUCACAUAAGUGACUGUAACGCCCUGUCCGUCUGUGGGACAUACCGCCCAACAUUUACACAUGCCAAACCAGGGCACAAUAGGCUCAUCCC